rnacentral:tRNA from 1 species
GGCCCUAUCGUCUAUUGGUUAGGACACCGCCCUCUCACGGCGGAAAGCAGGGUUCGAAUCCCUGUAGGGUCA